GAUCCUGGCUCAGGACGAACGCUGGCGGCGUGCCUAACACAUGCAAGUCGAACGGGGUUAUUUGAGAGCUUGCUUUUGGAUAACCUAGUGGCGGACGGGUGAGUAACGCGUGAGUAACCUGCCUUUCAGAGGGGAAUAACAAUCUGAAAAGAUUGCUAAUACCGCAUAACAUCUAAUUGUCGCAUGGCAGAUAGAUCAAAGGAGCAAUCCGCUGAGAGAUGGACUCGCGUCCGA
rnacentral:rRNA from 1 species